rnacentral:sRNA from 1 species
GGGGUAAGGUGAGAGAUAGAGAUCUAGUUUCAUUCUUUUUAAAAAAAAAUAUUUAUUUUUUAGUUGUAGUUGUUCAUAAUAGCUUUAUUUUAUUUUAUUCUUUGAGUGUGUGUAUGUGUGUGUGUGUAUGUGUGUGUGUGUUGCUGAGGAUUGAACCCAGGGCCUCGCGUGUGGUAGGUGAGCACUCUACCACUGAGCCACCACCUCAGCCCUA